rnacentral:rRNA from 1 species
AUUGAACGCUGGCGGCAGGCUUAACCAUGCAAGUCGAGCGGGGGAAGGUAGCUUGCUACGGACCUAGCGGCGGACGGGUGAGUAAUGCUUAGGAAUCUGCCUAUUAGUGGGGGACAACAUCUCGAAAGGGAUGCUAAUACCGCAUACGUCCUACGGGAGAAAGCAGGGGAUCUUCGGACCUUGCGCUAAUAGAUGAGCCUAAGUCGGAUUAGCUAGUUGGUGGGGUAAAGGCCUACCAAGGCGACGAUCUGUAGCGGGUCUGAGAGGAUGAUCCGCCACACUGGGACUGAGACACGGCCCAGACUCCUACGGGAGGCAGCAGUGGGGAAUAUUGGACAAUGGGGGGAACCCUGAUCCAGCCAUGCCGCGUGUGUGAAGAAGGCUUUAUGGUUUUAAAGCACUUUAAGCGAGGAGGAGGCUACUUUAGUUAAUACUAAAAGAUAGUGGACGUUACUCCCAAAAUAAGCACCGGUAACUCUGUGCCACAACCGGG